CACGGAGGGCGCGAGCGUUGUUCGGAAUCACUGGGCGUAAAGCGCACGUAGGCGGUUGGGUAAGUCGCUUGUGAAAGCCCGGGGCUCAACUCCGGGAUGCCAGGCGAUACUGUCCGACUGGAGCACGGUAGAGGCAAGUGGAAUUCCCGGUGUAGCGGUGGAAUGCGUAGAUAUCGGGAAGAACACCAGUGGCGAAGGCGGCUUGCUGGGCCGUUGCUGACGCUGAGGUGCGAAAGCGUGGGGAGCAAACAGG
rnacentral:rRNA from 1 species